rnacentral:lncRNA from 1 species
UUCUUUUUAAGUUUAAGGUGAUCUCAUAAUUCAAGUGAAGGGAAGUAGAUAUUUGCUUCACAAGGUCACACAUUGCAGCUUCAAGCAUUCUUCAAAUCUUGCAUACUCCAUGGCUAGAUGGACAAAAUUUCAACUAUUAUACUCUACAAAGCAUGAAGCUGACAACCUUUCAGAUCAGUACACGAAUGAGCUUCGUGGUUGUUGUACAUAGUGUUAAAUGAACAUGUGAAAAAUUUGUUUCAAACUGAAAACUUCAUUUGAUUAUGGGUAGUUGUUAUUAUUUUUGUCUAUACAAGCCUUUUCAUUUGUAA